rnacentral:lncRNA from 1 species
GUAGACCGGUCGCCGGCGCUGCGUAGACCCGGCGCCCUCAGGACUCCGCAGGCCGGGUCCGCGGGGGCCCCCGUGCCUGCGGCGGCCACAACACAGAACAAGAAUCAAGACGAAAACCAGAGAAAGAGUUCAGCUAAGCACAGCAUUGAAGGCUCAGGAAGGUGGAGCCUAAGUUCUGCACAAUCUGAUGGAGUACCUGUCCCUGCCCACAAGUGAUCCAAGGACUUUAAGGGGCUGUGUCCCUUGUCGUUAGAGAGGGGGGAAGCUUUCACAGGUUUUUGUUAUUUAUUUUUAAUAAGCUGGAAGGAGUAGGUGAAGCUGAGAGAAUAGUUUGCAGAGCAGCCCAGGAAGUGGGUUCCUCUGCCCAACCUUUGGGGACCUAACUUGGAGGAGCCACCCCGGAACCCAGUGUCCUCCCAGAGGGAGAUUCCAAGGUGGCAGGCAACUGUGUCUCUCCCUCACGGGUGGGGGGUCUAGCCUCACAGUCUUUCAAGAUUGGCUAGCUUUAAAAGAAUCUUGGCAAAGGAAAGGAAGCAGGUUCAGCUGCACCAGGACUGUACAGUUCUGGCGGGAUGCUUUGCAAAAACAAAAGGUGGGGAAGAUUUACAAAAACAUUUUGUAAGUUAGAGGGAUUUAAAAGUUUGAAUUCCUUUGCAUAAAAGUUCCUACAAGG